AACGAACGCUGGCGGCAUGCCUAACACAUGCAAGUCGAACGAGACCUUCGGGUCUAGUUGCGCACGGGUGCGUAACGCGUGGUAACCUGCCCUUAGGUUCGGAAUAACUCCCCGAAAGGGGUGCUAAUACCGGAUAAUGUCUUCGGACCAAAGAUUUAUCGCCUUUGGAUGGGCCCGCGUUGGAUUAGCUAGUUGGUAGGGUAAAAGCCUACCAAGGCGACGAUCCAUAGCUGGUCUGAUAGGAUGAUAAGCCACACUGGGACUGAGACACGGCCCAGACUCCUACGGGAGGCAGCGGUAGGGAAUAUUGGACAAUGGGCGAAAGCCUGAUCCAGCAAUGCCGCGUGAGUGAUGAAGGCCUUAGGGUUGUAAAGCUCUUUUACACGGGAUGAUAAUGACAGUAACGGGAGAAUAAGCUCCGGCUAACUACGUG
rnacentral:rRNA from 1 species